GAGUCUCGUCAGCCUCUCAGAGUCAGGCUGGGCGCGUGACAGAGCCGAACUAGCGACCUGGGCGGGCCAAAACUGCGGAAGUCGGCGGAGAGUGGGCGAGGGUAGGGGCGGAGCAAAGAAGGAAAAGGAAAGUGUGUGUUGGAGAUUGGAAGAUUCUUAUUUCGAUUCUUAUAAUUAGUUAGUCCUGGGGGUCGGCCCCGCGGUAUCCUGCGGCAACAAACCUAGAACUCAAUUCGACACCUGGAAUUUAAACGGCGUGCGGGAGCAGAUGUCUCAUGUUAGUGCUACUUGCCUCUGUCCCCACCCCGCCACGUGCGCAGGCAGGGAGGGCGGUCCUCAAGCUUCGAACAAGGUCAAAGACGUUGUUCAGACGUUGCUGCUGUGGCUUAGGAGAGGAGCAGCCCAGUCUGACUCGUGGAUUUUUACCCACUGCUGUCAGAACACACUUUCUGUUAGAAUCCCCCAAGACCUCAGACCUACAGCCUGCCCCUUAGGUGGUUCACUGUCUUCAUCGAAACGUUUGCCGCCGAGUCGCACGUCCUUGGCACCAAAAAGCGUUGAGUCCAUUUUUCAAAGCUCUAAUGUGCUCUUUAAAACACAGUUAUGUAAGUACUUAGCAAAGGUCAAUACUCCACAUAAGCAAUGCUUAUAUACUCAUUGGCUACUCUGAGAUUUUAGAAGUCCAUUGGGACCCCAAUUACUACUUUUCACUUCGUGAAGUCAAAACAGAUCAGCUGUAAUAACAUUAUUUCAGCCAUGAGCCAAAAGAAUAACUGGUACCCACCCUUCAAUAUAAAUUGUCCAGAACCAAAGGAUGAGUCCUGAGAUUUCCAAAUAACUUCUAAUCUCGGAAGAUACAGCUUGCAUUUUGCUAGUGCUUUGCUGAUUUGUUUUCAAAAUCAUGUAACUAUGGAAAGCUCACAGAGAUAAAACAGAAAAUGUCACGUAGUUUAGAGCAUUGGUUUAAAAAAGAAAGAUUUUUAAAAGUAAGCCGAGCAUGGUGGCUCACGCCUGUAAUGCCAGCACUUUGGGAGACCGAGGCAGGCGGAUCACCUAAGGUCAGGAGUUCGAGACCAGCCUGGCCAACAUGGUGAAACCUCGUCUCUACUGAAAAUACUAAAAUCAGCCUGGCUUGGUGGCAGGCGCCUGCAGUCCCAGCUACUCGAGAGGCUGAGGCAGGAGAAUCGCUUGAACCCGGGAGGCGGAGAUUGCAGUGAGCCGAGAUCGCACCAUUGCACUCCAGCCUGGGCAACAGAGUGAGAC
rnacentral:lncRNA from 10 species